rnacentral:rRNA from 1 species
UUAAGCGACUAAGCGUACACGGUGGAUGCCCUGGCAGUCAGAGGCGAUGAAGGACGUGCUAAUCUGCGAUAAGCGUCGGUAAGGUGAUAUGAACCGUUAUAACCGCGAUUUCCGAAUGGGGAAACCCAGUGUGAUUCGUCACACUAUCAUUAACUGAAUCCAUAGGUUAAUGAGGCGAACCGGGGGAACUGAAACAUCUAAGUACCCCGAGGAAAAGAAAUCAACCGAGAUUCCCCCAGUAGCGGCGAGCGAACGGGGAGCAGCCCAGAGCCUGAAUCAGUGUGUGUGUUAGUGGAAGCGUCUGGAAAGGCGCGCGAUACAGGGUGACAGCCCCGUACACAAAAAUGCACAUAUUGUGAGCUCGAUGAGUAGGGCGGGACACGUGGUAUCCUGUCUGAAUAUGGGGGGACCAUCCUCCAAGGCUAAAUACUCCUGACUGACCGAUAGUGAACCAGUACCGUGAGGGAAAGGCGAAAAGAACCCCGGCGAGGGGAGUGAAAAAGAACCUGAAACCGUGUACGUACAAGCAGUGGGAGCACGCUUAGGCGUGUGACUGCGUACCUUUUGUAUAAUGGGUCAGCGACUUAUAUUCUGUAGCAAGGUUAACCGAAUAGGGGAGCCGAAGGGAAACCGAGUCUUAACUGGGCGUUAAGUUGCAGGGUAUAGACCCGAAACCCGGUGAUCUAGCCAUGGGCAGGUUGAAGGUUGGGUAACACUAACUGGAGGACCGAACCGACUAAUGUUGAAAAAUUAAGCGGAUGACUUGUGGCUGGGGGUGAAAGGCCAAUCAAACCGGGAGAUAGCUGGUUCUCCCCGAAAGCUAUUUAGGUAGCGCCUCGUGAAUUCAUCUCCGGGGGUAGAGCACUGUUUCGGCAAGGGGGUCAUCCCGACUUACCAACCCGAUGCAAACUGCGAAUACCGGAGAAUGUUAUCACGGGAGACACACGGCGGGUGCUAACGUCCGUCGUGAAGAGGGAAACAACCCAGACCGCCAGCUAAGGUCCCAAAGUCAUGGUUAAGUGGGAAACGAUGUGGGAAGGCCCAGACAGCCAGGAUGUUGGCUUAGAAGCAGCCAUCAUUUAAAGAAAGCGUAAUAGCUCACUGGUCGAGUCGGCCUGCGCGGAAGAUGUAACGGGGCUAAACCAUGCACCGAAGCUGCGGCAGCGACGCUUAUGCGUUGUUGGGUAGGGGAGCGUUCUGUAAGCCUGCGAAGGUGUGCUGUGAGGCAUGCUGGAGGUAUCAGAAGUGCGAAUGCUGACAUAAGUAACGAUAAAGCGGGUGAAAAGCCCGCUCGCCGGAAGACCAAGGGUUCCUGUCCAACGUUAAUCGGGGCAGGGUGAGUCGACCCCUAAGGCGAGGCCGAAAGGCGUAGUCGAUGGGAAACAGGUUAAUAUUCCUGUACUUGGUGUUACUGCGAAGGGGGGACGGAGAAGGCUAUGUUGGCCGGGCGACGGUUGUCCCGGUUUAAGCGUGUAGGCUGGUUUUCCAGGCAAAUCCGGAAAAUCAAGGCUGAGGCGUGAUGACGAGGCACUACGGUGCUGAAGCAACAAAUGCCCUGCUUCCAGGAAAAGCCUCUAAGCAUCAGGUAACAUCAAAUCGUACCCCAAACCGACACAGGUGGUCAGGUAGAGAAUACCAAGGCGCUUGAGAGAACUCGGGUGAAGGAACUAGGCAAAAUGGUGCCGUAACUUCGGGAGAAGGCACGCUGAUAUGUAGGUGAAGUCCCUUGCGGAUGGAGCUGAAAUCAGUCGAAGAUACCAGCUGGCUGCAACCGUUUAUUAAAAACACAGCACUGUGCAAACACGAAAGUGGACGUAUACGGUGUGACGCCUGCCCGGUGCCGGAAGGUUAAUUGAUGGGGUUAGCGCAAGCGAAGCUCUUGAUCGAAGCCCCGGUAAACGGCGGCCGUAACUAUAACGGUCCUAAGGUAGCGAAAUUCCUUGUCGGGUAAGUUCCGACCUGCACGAAUGGCGUAAUGAUGGCCAGGCUGUCUCCACCCGAGACUCAGUGAAAUUGAACUCGCUGUGAAGAUGCAGUGUACCCGCGGCAAGACGGAAAGACCCCGUGAACCUUUACUAUAGCUUGACACUGAACAUUGAGCCUUGAUGUGUAGGAUAGGUGGGAGGCUUUGAAGUGUGGACGCCAGUCUGCAUGGAGCCGACCUUGAAAUACCACCCUUUAAUGUUUGAUGUUCUAACGUUGACCCGUGAUCCGGGUUGCGGACAGUGUCUGGUGGGUAGUUUGACUGGGGCGGUCUCCUCCUAAAGAGUAACGGAGGAGCACGAAGGUUGGCUAAUCCUGGUCGGACAUCAGGAGGUUAGUGCAAUGGCAUAAGCCAGCUUGACUGCGAGCGUGACGGCGCGAGCAGGUGCGAAAGCAGGUCAUAGUGAUCCGGUGGUUCUGAAUGGAAGGGCCAUCGCUCAACGGAUAAAAGGUACUCCGGGGAUAACAGGCUGAUACCGCCCAAGAGUUCAUAUCGACGGCGGUGUUUGGCACCUCGAUGUCGGCUCAUCACAUCCUGGGGCUGAAGUAGGUCCCAAGGGUAUGGCUGUUCGCCAUUUAAAGUGGUACGCGAGCUGGGUUUAGAACGUCGUGAGACAGUUCGGUCCCUAUCUGCCGUGGGCGCUGGAGAAUUGAGGGGGGCUGCUCCUAGUACGAGAGGACCGGAGUGGACGCAUCACUGGUGUUCGGGUUGUCAUGCCAAUGGCACUGCCCGGUAGCUAAAUGCGGAAGAGAUAAGUGCUGAAAGCAUCUAAGCACGAAACUUGCCCCGAGAUGAGUUCUCCCUGACUCCUUGAGAGUCCUGAAGGAACGUUGAAGACGACGACGUUGAUAGGCCGGGUGUGUAAGCGCAGCGAUGCGUUGAGCUAACCGGUACUAAUGAACCGUGAGGCUUAACCUU